UAUUUUUCCAUUCUGUCACAUAACCUACUAUUCCAUUUGGUCACAUUACCAGUCUAGCUCUGCAUGGACAUUAGACAAUUCCAUUUAAUUGGUAAUGUUACCUACUAUCUGGUCUCUCUGGACUAAUUUUAUUUUUUUAGUGAAGACCAGAUCUAUUUUGUAUUUUUGUGGUGUUAUUGGUGCUUUAAACAAUGCGAAAUAGUCCAAUAUACCUUCUACUUUUGAGAUCUUCAUGGUUCCUGUAAUAGAAAAACUGCUGCGAUUAUAAUAACUGGAAACAUAGGCGUACGGGGCUGAUGCUCUC